rnacentral:tRNA from 1 species
AGUGUGGUGCGAUAGCCAGGUCAGUCGGCUGGACUGCUAAUCCAGUGCUGUAAAGCUCGCGGGUUCGAAUCCCGCCCACACUA